rnacentral:rRNA from 1 species
CACGUAGUUAGCCGGGGCUUCUUACUCAGGUACCGUCAUUUCUUUCUUCCCUGCUGAUAGAGCUUUACGUACCGAGGUACUUCUUCACUCACGCGGCGUCGCUGCAUCAGGGUUUCCCCCAUUGUGCAAUAUUCCCCACUGCUGCCUCCCGUAGGAGUCUGGGCCGUGUCUCAGUCCCAAUGUGGCCGGUCACCCGUCUCAGGCCGGCUACCCGAUCGUCGCCUUGGUGGGCUCCUAUCCCCCGCAACUAGCUAAUCGGACGCGGAUCCAUCAUGUACCACCUGAGUUUUUCACACCGGACCAUGCGGUCCUUGUGCGCUUAUGCGGUAUUAGCACCUAUUUCUAAGUGUUAUCCCCCGGUACACGGCAGGUUAUCCACGCGUUACUCACCCGUCCGCCACUAACUUCGCCUUCACUAAGGUUUCAGGCUCUGUCCGUUCGACUUUGCAUGUGUUAGGCUACGCCGCCAGCCGUUCAUUCCCUGACGCCAGGGACUACGAAAACCUCUA